AUGAUCCGGGAAUUGGAUGCUCUGUACAAAGAAACCGCAAAGUCUGAGCGAUAUGAUAUCAUGAAGGCUUUGAUGGAUUGCAAGAUGGCUGAGGGUAGUUCAGUUGGUGAACACGUGGUCAAAAUGAUUGGCUAUUCUGAAAGGCUUAAAGCCCUAGAAUUUCCACUUCCACCUGGCCAUAUGAUGGACAUGUUGCUUUCUUCACUCCCCCCGUCUUACGACGGUUUUGUCAUGAACUACAACAUGACAGGGAUGGAGAAGACACCGGAAGAGGUGCUCGCCAUGCUGAAAACUACAGAAGGAGGACUGCGGAAAAAUCGCAAGCAAGUGUUGCUUGUGAAUAAAACCGCCAGUUUCAAAAAGAAGAAAGGCAAGCCAAAGAAGGGCAAGGGCGCCGGUAAGACCGGCUCCCAAAGCAACUCUAAGGGCGGAGCCAAGAAUGAAACUGAGUGCUUCUACUGCAAGGGCACAGGACACUGGAAGAGAAACUGCAAGAAGUAUCUGGAAGAUAAGAAGACCGGGAAAACCGGAAAAGGGGCUUCAGAAGGUGCGCAAGCUGGCAAAGAAUGA
rnacentral:rRNA from 1 species